rnacentral:rRNA from 1 species
UACGGAGGGGGCUAGCGUUGUUCGGAAUUACUGGGCGUAAAGAGCUCGUAGGUGGUUUGUCGCGUUGUUCGUGAAAUCUCACGGCUUAACUGUGAGCGUGCGGGCGAUACGGGCAGACUGGAGUACUGCAGGGGAGACUGGAAUUCCUGGUGUAGCGGUGGAAUGCGCAGAUACCAGGAGGAACACCGGUGGCGAAGGCGGGUCUCUGGGCAGUAACUGACGCUGAGGAGCGAAAGCGUGGGGAGCGAACAGG